rnacentral:rRNA from 1 species
UACAGAGGGUGCAAGCGUUGUCCGGAUUUAUUGGGCGUAAAGAGCGUGUAGGCGGCCAUGUAGGUCCGUUGUGAAAACUCGAGGCUCAACCUCGAGACGCCGAUGGAAACCAUGUGGCUAGAGUCCGGAAGAGGAGAGUGGAAUUCCUGGUGUAGCGGUGAAAUGCGCAGAUAUCAGGAAGAACACCCGUGGCUAAGGCGGUUCUCUAGUACGGUACUGACGCUGAGACGCGAAAGCGUGGGGAGCGAACAGG